GUUACAGGAGAUUGUUCUUGAAAUAACUUCACUGCUGCUGCCUUUGGAGCAACUAGACCCAACCUUUCUUGAAUGAAGUCUGCCAGGACCAGCCCAUGCGUUUACUCCUGCAUCCUGGCUUUUAAGAAGCCCAGCAAUCUCCAGAACAGUGGUCCUAGGAGGGUGCAGCAGAGAGACUGCUCUUCCAGAGUUUUUCCAAGAGGAGCCCCACAUGACCCUGAGAUUUUUCUCAUAUCCACCAGGAGAAGAAAGUUUGCUGAGAACGUCUGAUGUCCCUUUUGUGUGUGAAAAUGCAGAAGGACUCACUCAGCAGGUGGCCAGAAUGGUUGCUUCUCAUUCAUCUCUAAACGAGGCUCAUGGAGCACCUCAGGAGAUCAAACUCCCUUAUAUUCAGUGUGUGCAUUUCUCUUUUCCUUGCUCUUGGACUCCCUCUGCUGAUCUCAGUGAUCUGUUAGACAAGAAAUGCUGGUGCCAGAGCCAAGCAAAGUGCAGGGAGAAAACAGCUGGACAGCAAAAAAAUGAACCAAUUCAUCCCAGAUGAAGAUGACCUGAAAUUCAGAGGGCUGAAGGGAAACAGCCACAGUGAUAAAUGUAGAUGUGGCAAAUU